rnacentral:rRNA from 1 species
UUUUAUUUGAGAGUUUGAUCCUGGCUCAGGAUGAACGCUGGCGGCGUGCCUAACACAUGCAAGUUGAGCGAUUUACUUCGGUAAAGAGCGGCGGACGGGUGAGUAACGCGUGGGUAACCUACCCUGUACACACGGAUAACAUACCGAAAGGUAUGCUAAUACGGGAUAAUAUAUUUGAGAGGCAUCUCUUAAAUAUCAAAGGUGAGCCAGUACAGGAUGGACCCGCGUCUGAUUAGCUAGUUGGUAAGGUAACGGCUUACCAAGGCGACGAUCAGUAGCCGACCUGAGAGGGUGAUCGGCCACAUUGGAACUGAGACACGGUCCAAACACCUACGGGAGACAGCAGUGGGGAAUAUUGCACAAUGGGCGAAAGCCUGAUGCAGCAACGCCGCGUGAGUGAUGAAGGCCUUCGGGUCGUAAAACUCUGUCCUCAAGGAAGAUAAUGACGGUACUUGAGGAGGAAGCCCCGGCUAA